ensembl:lncRNA
AAGGCAUAAUUUUUAUCUUUCUCCUGUGUCAGUGACAACCUGUCAGGCUUCCUUCUGAAGAAUCCUGCAGGCCCUCUACGCUGCAGAUCUCACUUGGAUCUGUGAAAUAAACAUGCUGAUUCAAAUAUUUAUGGGUUGUGAUCCAUGGUAUCAAUUUUUACAAUUUUUGGUACCAGAAAUGCUUCAAUUUUUGUAUUUAGUUUUUUCUCCCUUAACCAAGUUUAGUGCAAUUGUUGAAAAACAAAAUACUGCAGUUCUUUAGUAUGGAUGGAAUUGUGCAUUUUAUUUAUUUAUUUAUUUAUUUAUUUAUUUCUAAGUUGAUUUUUUCACUUUUCUUUCUAUGUCAAUCACUUCAGGAAAAUUCAUGGGUCAAUGUUGUCCCCAUUUUAGAGAACUGGAAAUGAGAAUAAUCAUUCAACCUGUGUCUUUCCAUUAAAUCAAUCUUGAAAUAAUUUAUCCUUCCCAUGAGCUUUUCAGAUACACAGAUCUCAUUCAUGCAGCUUCUGUGUAGCUGGCACAGCUUUCUUUUGAUUUGCUUAUCCAUGCUCACAUUGGAUCCUGGUCUUAAUAGGUUGCACGGCAUGUCAUGAUAUUUCAGAUAUUCUGGAUCAAUCAGAUCAUUGAAAUACAACUUAACCUCAUGGAUCACCCUGGAGUGGAAAAAUAAUUAAAAAAAAUCUCAAUUUGAAAUUUUAAAAUGGUAAAGGGUUUUCUUUAGCAAUUAUGUAUAUUAUUCCACAUGAUGUAUAUUUGUAUAUAUGGUAAGCACUGUGUUUGGCUUUCAAUUUCCUAAAAUUCAGUUUUGAUGCCUCCCUCCAUAUUUUCAUUUAGGAUUUAAUGUUUGGGAACGAGCAUCUUUUUGUGUUUUGUUUGCACAAUGGCCUGGUUCAUGGCUAGGACUUCUUGUUGCUAUGGCUGAAGAAGUACGCUUGAUUUGCAAUCAAGAAUAUAAUUAAAAAGUAUGUAUUACAAAGUUUCCCAGUCUAAUCUGGCUUGAAUGUGUUAAUAUCUUGACUGUGGAUCUAAAAGUGUAAAAAAAUGAAACAAAUUUAAAAGUCCAUUUUACACUGUCUGAAGGUGAAACCAUCUCAUAUGUCAUGUAAGUCUAGAUUUUGCUGGUUGAAGCAUAUCUCUAGGCAGGAGGCAUCUCAGAACCAUAAGGUCCAGAGCCCCUGGCACUUUGUGUGAUUUCUGGAGAUUUCUGAGAGAAAAAAAUGAUGUCACCUUUCCAGCAUUAAGGUAUGGCAAAAUUUCCUAAUACCUUCUGGAAAGAGAGGGGCUGCUUACUCUCUGCCUGUGUUGCCUGCUGCAGGAAAGACUGCUUCUGCCUGUGAUGUGUGGCAGAAAGGCUCACUGCUGACCCUGGAGGACACAGCCCCAGUCUGGUCUCAUACCAGAGUUUGUUGCUGUAUAAUUUAGGGCCCCAAUUCCUAGCUUUGUUGAAUAUCCUGUUCAGUCUGUGUCUCUUUUAUUGGCUUAUCUCUUUAUUUUGUUUUGAAGAAAUAAGGGUGUAUGUCAAGUGACUGGUGCAAAACUGGCUCUUGUCCCAGUGGGGUGGCUCUGGUAGGGGCAGGUCUCCAAACUUGUGAAUUAAGCAGUUAUACUAGCUCAAAUUAAAUGGUAGGGAAACUUGGUCUAAGGAGGACUUGCGAGAUAAUUUAGCCCACUCUUUACCACAUCAGAAAUAAUACACUGCAAUUCUAGGAAACACUGUCAUCACUGUGGGACUGAGACUGCUAAAUAUUCAUUUUAGGCUCAAAAUGAAUGAAUCCUUCUGAUGACUUUAGAUAAUAUCAUUUAGAAAUUAACAUCAGUACCAGACAUUUUGCAACUGAGCUACUGGUUUUCAGUAGAGUGGAAACCUCUUCUGUUGACUGUUCUACUGCAAUUUGCCAGUUGAAGCGAUUCAUACUCAUCUUUUCUCUGUUGUUGAAUUUUCUUGCUCACUGGGCAAGACUUUAAUCCCCUAAUAGCAAACUGAAGUCAUAUCAACGCUCAAAUGCUGCUGUGAUCUUUUGCUACUUUCUCAAGUAGCUUCCUGACCCUUAGGCCAGCCCAUGGAGAUGUACGACAUGGAUGUACACAUACGCCUACAUGUGGUCUGUGCAGAACAGCAAGCACUAGGCAGCACCCUCGAGAUUACUGGCAGAGCAAGCAGAAGUGUUCAUGCAAAAGAAUGAAGACUGCAGCUGUUUUUCCACAACAAUCUAAUUUAACAAUUUAACAAUACUGACAUCCCAUUUAUAUAAGAAAUAAUUGGGCCAACCAGUAACAGGGAGGAAGUUCAGUACAGAAAACAAGAGCACUUAAAAAAAUAUAUCGAUAACAAAAAGAAAACAAGACAAUUACUUACAUUUUCACUGAAUCUCAAAAAACUAACUGCAAAUAUAAACAUGAAGAAUUAAGAUAAAACAGAAAGAUACAAACCCUGUACUUUGCUGAUCAUCAUGACUUCAGGUCCACCAGCCCAGCUUUAAAACAUCAUGCCUCAGAAGGAUUCAUGAAUCUGGGAUGUAAAAUGUUUCUUUUUCUAAAAGGUGAAGAAGAAAAAAUGACAAUAGAAGACAGAGGCUUGAAUAGUAAAUUCAAGAGGAGAAAAAGAAAACAACUGAAAAUCUGUUCUAAACAAAUAUUUAUCCUUUAAAAUUUAAUUGCACAUAAGAAAAUGUGCUAUCAAUUUUAAAAAAUAGAGAAAUGGUGCAGAAAACUGAUUGGGAUGUUUUUCAGGGAAAAGAAGGUCAGAUCUGAAAUAUUUUCUGUAGGUCUUAUGCCAAAGGUAAUUUUUCUGGAUCUCACCCUUUGCAUACGUGUACAAAACACAGUAAGAAAGCUCACUAGAUUCCCUUCAGAAAGAAUAUUUCCAGGAAGAAUUUUACACAGCUAUUUAAUUAGCCAUUUUGUAGCUGUAAAAGUAUUCACAAAAAUGACUCAUCAGGUCCAUGUGAAUUGAGCAGUUCAAGUGAAAAGCCAUCAGUGGAACAGAAUUAAAACCAUAGAGCCAAGGUCACUCUUGAUAUAAAUAAUGUCCAUUGCUAUAAUAAGAGAACACCUAACAGAAGCAAUUCCUCACCCCACUGAAUUUUGGCAUGGGAGCUGGCCCCAGAAUCCAAAUCUUGUUGCUUCAACUUCCAUAUUUCUUAGCAUGUAGGAAAACCUAAACUGCAAUAUGCUGUAAAUAUUUUGUGACAUUUGUGACAUAUAGAUUAUACAUAAUUUAGAAUAUAUAUAACUCAGAAUCCCCAAAAACAACCCAAGUUGGGAUUUACCUUAUUUUCCCUUUUCAACAUCUUUUUCAUGCCAGUAAAUGUCAUUUUCUUAUCUGUAAAAUGUAGCAAAGCUUUGUGCUCUGUCCUAAUUUUACUAGUUGAAGUCUUUCUUUUUUCAUAGUCAUAAAAUACAUGUCAAGCACUAUGAGCAACUUCUUUAUGCCUUGCUAGCAGUGCUGUAAUUAGGAUCAUACUGUGUCAUAUUCGAAGCUCAGUGACUGUUAAAUGUGCUAUGCCUGCAUCACACUAACUACUGUAUCAGUCAUUUUAGAUGACCCCCUUGAAAAUUGCUGCCAAAAGUUUAUAUGUCAAAAAUCACUUUCAAAAUGCUUAUGAAGUGAAGAAUUUUCACAGUGCUUUACCUACUCAAAUACUAAAAACUGUCAGUCAGUGAAAUUGGGCACGACAGUUUAUAUUCUAAGACCCACUAUUCAAAGAUUUGCUCCAACAAUUAUUCCUAUCAGCUGUCAGCAAUUGGGUUCUGUGUUUAGGCAGUUGCUCACCUUUAUAUUGUAAUAACCACUGGAAGCUGCUACAAGACAUCUGCCAGAACCCUCAGUAUUAUUUUUAAAUGGGAUGAGUCAGGGACAUGUACAUCAGCAUUUCAGCAUAGUCUGCAGAUGCAGUCCUGCUGCCAAAGGUAAGUGGUAAUUUUCAGUUAGAGCUCUAUAUGGUUUCAUCAGUGUUUUCAAUCCCAAAUAAAAACACAAAUAUGAACAUGUGAGAUUUAUGAAGAUAUCAGUUAAAGAUUUACUCUAUUUUUAAAGAUGGGAGUUUGCUUAAGAGUAUGUUAAGUUUUCUGAAUCUGAACACUUUAAACAUAUCCUAUAGUUCUGUUACCAAGUAUGAGGCUAGAUUUAUGACUGAAACUCUGUUAAUCUUUUUAAUUUCCUGGGGAAAAAAAAUCUAAAUCUGUUCUCCUCUAGGCAGGGACUUAGUAACAUGGUUUGGAUUCAAAUCUAGACAGGGUGAGAGCUGGGGCUGUUCAUCCUGGAGAAAAAAAGGCUUGGGGGAGACCUGAUAAUGACAUUCCAGUAUCUAAAACAGGGGACUACAAGAAAGCCAGAGAGAACUCUUUACAAAGGCAUUAAGUGAUAGGACAAGAGGGAAUAGCUUUUAAUCUAGGGAGAGUAGUUUUAGAUUAGACAUUGGAAAGAAAUUCUUCAAUAUGAGGGUGGUGAGGCACUGGAACAGUUUGCAUACAGAGGCUGUGAAUGCCUUAACCCUGGGAGUGUUCAAGGUUAGGCUGGAUGGGGCUUUGGGUAACCUGAUAUACUGGAAGGUGUCCCUUGCCAUUGCAGAAGGUUGAAACAAGAUGGUCUUUAAGGUCUCUUUCAACUCAAAUCAUCCUAUGAUUCUAUGAUCUAAGCCUAGAGAAUCUGUAGUCUAAUGAUUCUGAUGAGAAAUAAUGUUUCUUGUUACUAUUUCAUUUGAUAAUACCUUUAUAGCACCAACAUAGUAAUGAGAGUCAGUAUUUUUAAUGAACUGUGGUUUAUUAAAAUUUUCCCACUCUUAUUCAAGAAUGGAUCGACAUUCAGUUCAUGGCUGGAUCAACAUCCUCUUACAAUGAAUGGCAAAGAGUGACAGGGAUUUGUGCCCUAUUGCUAACCUGGACCAAACCUUUCAAUCUCUUCAUCACACAAUCUCAGUUUCACUGAAAAGUUUCCUGAAUAGCAUUGGUUCUUUUCAGGUAAGAAAUAUUGGUACCUGGGGUCCAGGAGAAAAGCAUAUCCAUGUCUAUAGUCCAUGCCUAUCUACUGGUGUUCUCAGAGAAUAAUGAGUAUACGCCUCUCCAUCUGGGUUCUUCACAAAGCAAUGUAAUAGAAUAAUUCUACUGUACUCAUCUGUAUCUUAUAUAAUGAAAGCCAGGUUCAAUUCUUUCUUCAUUCUCAAAGGAUUUAAUUUAAAAUGUAUGUAUAUUUUGGCUUUCCAGGUGUGGUGGAUUGAUUGAACAUAAUUCUAGUUUUAGCAGUGAUUUUGGGUUUAUUAAUACUUUUACAGUAUAUCACAGGGUGUCAACAGUUUACAGGCUGGUUCAGCCCGGUUCUGUGACUAGUGGGGUGGAGGGAUUUUGCAAAAUCCAUGCCUUCAGGAAAGGGAAACAGGGGACCCCAAAAUAAUUGAAAACAGCAGCAACGAUCUGAGUGAUCUGAGAAGAAACAAGCUAAUUUUCUAAAUAAGGUAUUGGAAUGCAAGAUAACACACUAUAAUACAAUAUAAUUAGAACUGAAGCAAAUAAAUCAAAUAUAAUGAGAGAGUAUCUGAAAGCUGUAGGCCUUACAGUUGUGCUGAGGUGAUGUGCGCGGUCAGGAUGAGCAACAGGGAGGAGAGACUAAGGAAAAAAAAGGGCCAUCAGGUGACCUUGCCAGAGGUUAUAUCUCCUCUCUGACUGCAAAGCCCCCUGGGGUAUGUAGUUCUUCUCUUCCAGACAGGCACCUGGAACUGGAACAUUAACUCUUUAACUCCCAGUGCACUAUGUGAUGUUAUGAUGUGGAAUACCAGUAAUCAAAAAUCAUAAAACCAUGACACAGGGUUAGAAUUGCAUGAUUCUUAGUAGCACUUAAUCAGAACUCAAUCAAUAGCUAUUUUAACAGAAUGAUUCAAUGGAGCUUACUACAAUCAAAUACAGUGACUUAAAGUUUUAAGAAUAGCAAGGUUCACCUGAAACUUAACACACAAGAUAUUCUAAGGGGAGAUUUCUAAACUUAGUCAUGCAUGCAAGGAACUUCUCCCAUUUGGUGAACUACUCUCCCCCCUCGUCAUUGGCCCUCAGUGGAUGAUGGGAUAUUAUCCUAUAAAGGACUCUUCUACUUCAAAAGGCGCCUCAAAAAAAAGCCUACCCUCAGAUGUAUCCCAGCUCAAGGAGACAUCAUAGACUACUGUGGGCUUUGAGAGUGUAAGGGGCUCUUUUCUUAGGACCCUUAUUUGACCUUGAGAUAAUUUACUUUAGUCAGAAAACUUUGCAUUUUAGCCAUAUUUCAGGUGAGGCAAUUCUGGAAUUUUCUCCCAACCAUACACUUCCAGAACUCCCAGACUGUUCUGAUACUUCUCAGAUCAGGUUACGAUUGAAGAAGAAGGAGUUCUGGGUAUUGUCAGGAGUAUCUGAUUGUCCAAAUUCACUACACUUGAAAAAAGCAAAAGGACAAUGGUGACUUACACUGAGGUUACAUAGUGGCUCAGGGGGCUGCAGCACAGCAGAAGAACACAAACUCUAGGCCCAGGGCAUGGCUUCAUGUGCUGUCCUAGCAGGAGGAAAAUUCUUAUAGAAAACAGGCAAUCUGUUUCCUGUUGCAUUCUACUGCCUCUUGCAUUAAGCUCUCGUUGGAUAAGCAGAAAUGAUGCUAGGUAUAGGCAUGACUACAGCCUAACUUCCCUAUGUUGAUCAGGGGAGUUUUUACAGCUUUUACAAGCGUGUUGGUUAAUUUUCCUACUGGACCAACCACAGCUGAAAUAGAACUAAAAGAAAUUUCUUCCUGAUUUUUUAUUUUUUUUCAUGUGUUGAACAAAGAGAAAAAACAAAGUCUCUCCUGGGAAAGGAGAAAGUGAGUUUCUACUGUGCACUGAGUGCUGGGAGUUAGAUCACUGCUGGAUGAGAGAAAAGAAAAAAGCAUUUCUAAGUCUGCUCUUGUUUAUCUGCAGUCUGGUAAGGAGUCUUUUUGUUGUCAAGCCUAGCCACUUUAAACACCAAGCCUCUGGAUGAGAAUUUUUUUAAAAAUUUUGGCCUAGUUUCCAUGGUCUGUCACAGUGUGUUAGUUACCAGAAAUACUCUAAAACAAAGGCAUCCAACAGGAGAACGUCUCCAAAAACAAUGACAGUAUAUUUUUAAUUACAUGAUAUGAAAGUCUGUUAUAUCUAAUGUUCAAUUUAGGUAUUCCUCUCCUGGCACCCUAAAGCAUGUUGCAUUUUACCGCAGGCAGAGAUACCAUGACUUAGUUUGAAUUGAAGUAGUGGCUGCAUUCUAAUAUCUGUUACCCAUAUAAAAACAAUCUAAAAUAGAUGAUGACUAUUAUAUAUCAUUAUAUUAUAAAUAUUAUAUGUCUGUGAAGCAGAGGAGAAUAGAAUUUCUUCUUGAUCAGUAGCUAGAAAUGUGGUUGGAUUUUGGUCAGAUAUAAUGCUAUGUCAAAUACUUUAGCUCGCCUGUCAUGGUGAUGUUUCUUUCUUUCUUUCUUUCUUUCUUUCUUUCUUUCUUUCUUUCUUUCUUUCUUUCUUUCUUUCUUUCUUUCUUUCUUUCUUUCUUUCUUUCUUUCUUUCUUUCUUUCUUUCUAAGAACACUAGAAAUAACCACAUGAGACUUAUAACCCUGCUAUUUACUACAAAGAUUUUAAGGUCCCUGACUACUUGUAUUGAAGUUUCACAUCAAGAAAUUAUGCAAAAUAAUUAGGAGAUUGAAUCCAAUUGAAAUUGAAUUCCCUGAGCUAUGUGUUGUGUUAUUUACUAUUGCUGGAGUGAUACAUUUGCUUGAGAACACAGGAAUAGUUUUAUGCUUUCUAGAUGAUUUUCAAAGAGCAACGUACCAAGUACAUUAUGGAAAAAUGUGAUACUCUAUGUAUCUCCCAGAAUACACAGAACAAUGAUAACUCUAGUAUGAAGACCAUGACCAGCCCUAGUCUUCAGGUUAAAGCAAACAUGAGGAAUGUUACCAUGUGUAGUGCAGGAUGUUCUGACAAGCAAUUUUAACUGUUGUAGUACUAACAAGAAUGCACUAUCAAAACAGUAUUUAUUGACUUGUCAUUUUGACUACAGGGAUAUAUUUUCUUGUGUUGCUUUUUUGAUCACACCUCAGUAGGGAUCAGGUCUGAGCUAUCUCCGAUUCUGAAGCGGAAUGCAAUUCCACUUGUAAUUCCCAUGACAAUUUGUUUUGUGAAAUCCCUGGAUCAGUUCAAACUCCUGCUGCUUUGUGACCAGUGACAAAAAUGGUGAUCAGGAGGGCUUUUCAAAGUACUGUUUAAUAGCGGGACCACAGUCCACAAAGUGUAGCUUAUAACAGAUGAAAUAACUAUGUUGAUAAUUAUUUUACUUGUGUCUUUCCCCCUUUUCUUGGAACCUAGGAAUUUUGAUUUCUUUAUAAAAAAUAAGGCAUCUUAUUUAUCUGAGUGCAAUUUCUGAAGAGUAAGUGCUUUUAGAGUUUUAAAACAGUUUCAGAUCCUUUGUUCUUCCCAUUUUCUCUAUGACUUUCCUCUUUGACGUGGGCUGGUGAGUUCAACAAGAGGUCAAUCCUUGUAUUGCCUCUCAAGUGUUGCUAGAUAGGUAGUUAUCUGAAGGUGUUGCAUUCUUUUCUACUCGUGGGAACUAAUCCUUUGUUAAAUUAAUGCCAUAUAUUUAGACUAACAUACAGUUAUUCAUAUAAUACAGUGUAUUUAAUGUAUUUAAUACUCAUUUACUAGUACAGAAUGACUCUUGAAUCACUAUGUUUACUUGCUGCUAUUUACAACCACUGGCAGCUCUUGUUAUUGUAGCUUAGGUUUUAAAACCCAGAUCUGUAUUCUUUCUCAAGAGAUUGCUGCCUCCCAGCAAUAUUAGCAGGAGACAACAUGUGUAUUGUCUUAGCUCAGAUUCUCUGUUACUAACAGUUUCUCCUGACUCUUGUGAUGAUGGUAGGCUGUGGCAAGGAACGUGGGGAGGGUAUUAACUUCUACAGUGUAUUUGGAUAGAAUUUAUCUCUUAAUCCCCAAUCACCAGAAGUCUUGUACAGGACAAAAUAAAUAUUUCUGUGUCCUAUUCCAGACCUAACAGUCAGACUGGUCUCUACUGUGAGUGCUGUGUUAUUCUUUCUUAUUUAAGAGACAUAGACACUAUUUAAAAAGAAAUAAAUCAGCUUCCCUCUGAAGUUUUCCAACCUAUAUUUUAUUUUAGAUUCUCUUAUUUUGGCCAUCUUCUGUAACUAAGGCAACAUUCAAGGUCCAGGUGAAAGUAGGUCCUUUUACAAAUUACUGAAGAUGAUGAAUAUAAACAGGUUUCUUUUUUCUUGAAAUUGCUAGCUGAAGAACUUCCAAUACAAGUAGAAAUUUGCAAAAAGAUGCUCAAGAGUGGCAUUAUCCUGGGAAGAAAGUGACUGUGAUUAGGUAAAUGUGUACCUAUGGCAGCAGUCUUUUAAUGACAUGAGCACUGCAAGAUACAACUGCAAUUGCUCACAGUAACAUUGCGUACGGUUAUGAUGGAUAUGUUUGCCAGCAUUUAGUUCUGGUAAACUUUAGCAACACAGUAAUAUAAACUAUGGCAGGCACCCCCAAACUGCUAAUGCUUUGCAGCCUCCUAAGGUCAGCAGAACCCUGUGUUGGGGUUAGAAUAGAAUAGAAUAGAAUAGAAUAGAAUAGAAUAGAAUAGAAUAGAAUAGAAUAGAAUAGAAUAGAAUAUGUCUUCUCAAAUCUCUGUGACUGAGGGUGUUUUGCGUUCCCUCAUUCUGUACUGCCCACUUGUUUGUUUUCUCUGGAGAGUUUCCUCCAGGACUGUUACAGCUUUGCACUGUUACGCUGCGUUUGCUUCUUUUCCCAUUUGCACUUUUUCCUUUUCCUUUUUUUUUUUUUUCCCUUUCUGUUUUUUCCUUAUUUGUGGGCAAACCAAGAAAGAUGCUCCACUUCCACGCAGCCCAAGGAACAAAGCUGUCCUGCUUGUUAAUGUAGUUAUGUAUCAAAAUAAUCAGUAGUUGAGAACUGACUGGAAUCAAACCAUAACACGGAAUCAGAUUAAGUGAUUUGCAUGAUAGAAUUGCUCAUAAGGUAAUUUUGUCGUCUUCCCUGCCCCUCAAUGGAAUGUUAGAGAAAAUUUUUAAUUGCUCAUAAAACAGAGAAAGUUAGAAUUUUACUAAGUGCUUUAUCAUUUCAGUUAUUCCUUGCCAUCUUUUCUUCAGGUAGUAGCUCAAAUUUCAUUCGAAGCUGCUUUUCCUUCAACUUAAAUAAUCUUUUAAGAUCCUUGUAAAAAUGGAAAGCACACAUGCUUGAACUGUUUUUCUUCUAUUAAAGCACACAUUGCACAAAUGAAACUGACUUUCAGAUUAUGAUUUGCACAGUACCAUAUAACAUAAAUGCAUCUGAAAUUUAUAGCACUCCACAAACUCUUUAAUACUCAGUGCUUAAACUGCUGUGUUUCCACAGCAAGCUGUAAUAACUAAAGAUUUAAAACAGAACCUGAUAUCUGUACAGUUAUUAGCAUGAUUUUCUCAACAUUUUACUACCUGCUUGUAAACACGAGUUUAUUGAAACGUAAUAGUAUGUUCAUGGUCAUAUAAAUAUAAAAUGUGAAAGAGAACAGGUUGUUUUCUUUGCCAGAGGUACUGCAGAUGUAAAAGAAAGAAAUCUAGACCUUGAACUUAAAAAUCCAAUUUUAUGUGCAGAAAAAGUAAAUCCCUUCCUACCACGCUAUUUUGACCUUGUGUAGCUGUUCAGGCUUUUUAUCAAACAGCCAGAGGAUGUUGCUGGUCUGGAAAUCUUUUUUGUUUGGCUUUAGUUUUUAAGCUCUGCUAUUCCCUCUGAAGAAAUUUUGUUCCCCCCUCCACCCUUCCCGUUUCAUAUCUUGUAAAAAAAAUAAAAGAACACUUCAACAUAUAACGUGAUUUUUUCCAAUGGGUCUUGUGCCAAGAAAAGCAAAGGAUUUAAUUUCAUUACAUUAUGCAGAUUAAAAAUUAAAAAAAAAAAAAAAUCAGUAAAUUGUUAUGAUCUGAUAUACUUAUUUUCCAAGAUAUGUAUCUUUUCUUAUUUAGGUAUAUUUUAAGAUUUCUCCUUUUACUCUUUGUUGCCUUUUGUAAUUAACGAAGGAGAAGAACUUUGCAAAUAUAUAAAUCAAACAAAUAAAGGAAUAUUUCUAGAUAGACAGAAAAGCUCUUAAGGUACUGAAGCAUGUGAAAUUAACCUGUUGUUUUUUCUUGUGGUUAUCCAGUAAAUUUAAAACUUAGAGUAGAAUGUUAGGGACCAACUUUCAUCCACCUAGUCCAGAACAUCUCAGCUGAACUGUCAAAAGAUAAACCACAGCAGUCUUCAUAUAUUUUUGUAGUUGUUAAAUAAAUCUUAUCUUGGCCAUCAGGAAGGAAGAAGUCAAAGAAUGUACAGUUGUUUUGAGUAGGAGUAUGCCAUACCUUAGUCUGCCAUCUCUGCAAAAUUAGGCUUUUUUUUUUUUUUUUUUUUUUUGGUCCGGACCUUCACUUUCUUAAAUUUAUCUUACAUUUUGAGACUUAAAGCUAUGUCUUCAAGUGUUGCCUCUGUAUUCCAUGGCAAGCAAUUUCCUGAUCUCCAGCUGCUGUUCUUUGGCUAGAUCCCAUGUUUCAGAGGCCCUUCACAGAUGGUUUUCUUGCUUUGUGUGCUGAGAAGCAGAGCCAGGCUCUAACUGACAAAGAAUCCUUCCCAGUUGCUCAGUCUAUAUCAAUUUUACUCUAGAAAUAGAAAUAUCUAAUUAAAUUUGGUACAUAGCUAACAUCAAACAUUGCACAGCUGCUUCACAUAUAUAUUGUUAUGCUGGAAUUUUAGACAUCUGACCAAUACUAUUUAUUUGAUGGUACUUUAGAUCUAGACAUUAGCUUAUCACAGAUAUGUCCAAGAAGGCAUCUCUCAUUUCUGAUAUCUUCUGAAAAGUUUAGCAGCACAGAGGUGCUGUGAAUAAUAUGGAUGUCUUGAACCUAGGUGGAGAAAUAAAAGACAGAAGAGUAAAAAAUAGAAAAUUACCAUUAUGAGACAGAAUGUAAGAAGACCUACUAGAUUAGUCACUACUGCCAUAGUGUUUGUUUGUUAAUGUUUUGUAGAAGCAAACUAAAUUUGAGAAAAUUCUUAUUGGUCCUUUUUUUUUUUUUUUUAAUAUAUUUUAGUCUACAGUACUAAAACCAGGCAGUACAAUAAUAAUAAUAAAGAAAUCUAGAAAACAACAAACAAUUUGCUAUGGAAAAACUGUGACAUUUUUAGCAUCAUACAUCUGAACUACUCUUUAAAACUGCAACUAUUUUUCUGUAUGAGUAGGCAUUUUCUGCCUUCACAGGUAGAACAGACAAAUAACAAAGGGAGUAUCUGCUGCUACUCUAUUUUACUGCUAGCCUUGAAAACAUUCACUUGUAUACAACAAGGAAGAACAGAGUAGUUCUCUGAUUAAAAUGGUAGGUAUUUUUUGCUCAAGUCAGAGUAAAUAUAUCCAAAGUUAUGAAUUUCUACUGAACAUAGACAUAGAGGAACCGUAAAACUACAGACUGCAACAAAGAUGCACAGCACUGCAUCCACCAGUCAAAAAUAUUGGCAGCCUAUUUACAACCUUUACAGUGACAUUUUAAAGAUCCUAACAAGAUCUGAAAGGGCUUUAAUAAUUACGUUAUUUUCUUUCCAGCGGAGAAUAGAACUAUGUGAUGACAAAGUUUAAAAUAACUAUGAAAUGGCAGGAAGUAACGUUUACACAUUCAUUACCCUUUCUUGCCUAAAUACAUCAGUUGAUAUAUAUGUAUUCUAUUAACAUGCUGAUAAAUAUUCUUCACAGAUGUCCAUUCACUGUAUUCUAGCACAUUAUAGGAUCUCCUAUAUGUGAGAAGAGUUUAAAAGUUUGCAGAGGGGCUUUAAAGAGAAUCUAAGUUGCCCUCCGAAACUCUGAAGUUCAUUUCCUUUCACUCUGAGAUUCCUAACUUGCAAAUGUACAGCCAGUACUUUAUUGUUUUUCACAGAGACUGCUUUUGCUCCAAUAGAAUGGCAAGACCAGUGACUGAAGGUCUGAUAACUGCAGCAGAUGUUUUUACUUGGGGAGACUGUUCCAAACCUUAGCUCUGACUGCUCCAAGCAGUCUGAUAUCACAAUCAUAAACUUACCACAUAUUUAUAAAUAUUUUUUCUUCUUCUUUAUUGUGAUACUUAAUUAUUUGACUGAAGGAACUAGAAUUUCAAGGAAUGUACCCUGAAGUCUGAGAUUUGUUUUUCACCUUCUCAGAAGUGGGGUAAAUAAAGCCAUUGUCUAGCUAAAAUUAGCUAAUCUGCACCAUUAAAUUAAAAUUACUGAUAUUUCAAUAGUUUAUUAUGCAUAUAUAUUUAGAGCAGAAAAGUGCAAGAAAGGAUUUCAUUAACAUAAAUGACAAGAGUGCAUGUGAAAUUUGAGCCUACAGUCUAGGUAAAGACAAUACUGCAGACAGAAAUCUCUUUUGAAUCUGUCUGUGUAGGAUUAAAGUUUAAAAACCUCUCAUAAUUACCUUCAAUGUGGAUUCAUUUUUCAUAUCAGCAUCUUAUUUUAAAGUAUACAGGCAUGCAUAAGAAAUAAAUCCAAGGAAAAUAUGCAAAAUAUGUAUUAUUAUGGCUCAUUAGUGCUUGAUGCACAUUCCAAGUUUAGAAGAUACCAUCAUCCUGCUCCUGGGGGACUUCAGCUGAAAAAGAGAGAGAAACAGAGCAAUCUGUGAAAGAGUCAGCAUCUCCCAGUCAACUGCUAUGUGCUGUGAAACUGUGAGCUUAAAGCUUUUCAAACAAGAAAAGUUGUGCUUCAUGCUACUUUAAUAUAUGUGUAAAAUUUGCACAAACUGCCAAGACCGUAAGGAUCAUCUUGUACCAUUUGUUCCUUCACAGUCCAUAUAAAAUGUUUCAGUCCUGAUACAGAAAGUGUAUAUUCCAGUUCUGCACAAUCUAGCUGAUUACUUAGAAUGAGAAGCAAUGGAAAACUGGACAUAGCAGAUUCUCCUUUCUUCAAAGUCCAGCUUCACACCUGAGUCUUGUCAUCAAGCACAUAAGUAACCAGCAUAUUCUUUGCCAGACAAAUUCACCUUCAUCUGUUUGACUAAAAUGACAGAAUCCAUUAAAAGAUGAGGUUUAACACUGCAGUAGCAUGUAUACUGGUAUAAAAAAUUAUUUGAUUUUCUCUUUCUAGUCUUGAUACAAUUGUUUUGAGAAGCAUGCUGUACUACUGCAUUAAUAGUGUAUGAUUUUUAGUGUUUCAAGUUCAAGGCUUCUCUUGACCUUGCUGCUAUGUUUAUACAGUCUAGAUGGAACAAAGUUGUGUAAAAUAAAAUUAAUUAUCUCCUUUUUACUGAGCUGCAACAGCACUCCAAAUUAUGUCUGCCUGGAUAGGAAUAUAACUUACCACAGAAAUACUAUGUGCUUAAUCUGCCUAUUUAUCUAUAUAAGAUACAAAAUCAUUCAACAAGAUCAACAUUACAAAAUCGCUGGAUAUCUCUUAUGUACUUAUCGUAUUACAUAUUUUUUUCAGAAAGUCCUCAUUAUCUUCCCGCUAAUACUUUUCUGAAGGCUGAAAGAAAAAGAGUAAACAUACCAUAUGCCUUUUGAUUCUUUGUGGGUAGAUUAGAAAAAGCAACAACAAAAACUCACACCAACUAAAACAAAACAAAACUUACAAUCUUUUGAACUUGAAACAACAUAACCUAAAAGCUUUUUAUUUUUGGCUGGAAUCCCAGACUCCAAAUGUAAUUCAAAGAAUACAUUUUUGUAAUACAUGGAUACUCCACGUCUUUGUAUAAUUAUUAUAAUUGUAAUUAUAAUAAUAAUUAUUUUUAUAUUCUCUAUUAUAUUAUAUUAUAUUAUAUAAAUAUAUAUAUUUAUAUAUAUUUAUAUUAUAUUAUUUUAUAUAAAUAUAUAUAAUAUUUAUAUAUUGGUACAUCUCAUGAACUUUCUUAUCUUGAACUUUGACCAUUUAAUUAUAGAGAUAAGUAUUUUGGCCAUUUAAAAUCUCACUGUGAAAGAGUUUUUCAUCAUAGAAUCAUUGUCAUAGAAUGGAUUGAGUUUGAAAAGACCUCUAAGAUCAUCUAGUUGCAGCUCCCCUGCUAUAGGAGAGGAACAGCCUAGGUCCCUCUAGACCAGGUCGUUCAAAGCCCCUUCCAGCCUGGCUUAGAGCGCUUCCAGGGAGGGGGCAUUCGCAACCUCUCUAGGUAUCCUGUUCCAGUGUCUCACCACCCCUACAGUAAAGAACUUCCUCCUAAUAUCUAGUCUAAAUCUACUCUUGUCCAAUUCAAACCUUUUUCUCCUUGUCCUGUUGCUACAUGCCCUUAUAAAAAGUCCCUCCCCACCUUUCCUACAGGCUCCCUUCAGGUACUGGAAGGCAGCUAUAUGGUCCCCCCAGAGCCUUCUCUUCUUCAAGCUGAAGAGUCCCAGCUCUCUCAAAAGAGGAAAUAUGAAGUGGAACAAAAGCAAUUUUCUUCCAUUGCUAAAAGAAACUAAAAAAACAUUACAUUAAAAAAAGUGGUACUGUAUUAUGAGAGAUAAGAGAGAUGGAUAUUUGAGAGAUCCACAGUUAGAAAUAUUAAAAAUUAGCACUAAGGAAACAACUUAGACCAAGUUUACAUGAGUAGAGCUGUCAAACCAACAUUAAGAUUUUCAUUUUCAUUUCUCUUUGUGACUUAUUAUCAGCAUCUGAUUCUUGGUUGGUUUUCUUAUUUUUAUUUUUUAAAUCAUAGUUUAAGGGUAAGGGCAAAUUCUUUUGGCAAUAAAUAAUGUGGAUAAAUAAUGGGUAUAUGUGGUAGAAUAUAUAUUAAAAAAUUAGAAAAACCGUGUGAUCUAGCAUUUUAGUAAGUGCAAAUCAUGGAAAUAUUUAGCUUCAUCUAACUUUAAUCCAAUGAGAAAAGCAAGACAUUGAUUUACUGCAAAUUGUUUUAAUACUACUGCAUAAUAAAGCCUUGUAAAAUUGUCAUGAAAAUUUACUGGCUUAGAUGCAAAUGUCUACUUAUUUACUUUUUUAAACUGUAAUCAAUCAUCAUGGUGAAUUAAUAACUUUUAUUCUCUGUAUUCCAAAAUAUUAUUCAUUUCAGCAGGUUAAACAAGGAAAAAAAAAAUCCAGAUGCUAUAAUAUAAAUACAUACUUCUACACUCUUAACUUUGCAAAUAAAUUUUAUUUUGUAGCUCUAUAGUUUGUUCAUGUGUUGAAUAUGUAAUAAGCAUUAAAACUAAAAUAGAGCUGAAAUACAGUGCAUGAGGAUUACAUGAAAUGAUUUUUUUUGAGGGGGAAGGGAGAAUGUUACAGCUGUGAGUAAUAGUAAUAUUAACUGCAUGGAGGGCCUAAGAAGUAUGCUUUACAUGAAGGGGAGAAAUGUAUCUAGAUAAAUAUCUAAAUAACUGUACAGCUUUAACAACAAUUUUUAGUAUUUUUUCAUGAAUAAUAAUUUUUAUAUUUAAGGUCAUAAUAUAUCAGUGUUGCUGUGCUAAUGAUCUGUCAGAUCUCUCUGUAUUCACAUUUGAGUGCAAGUCCUAUGACUAGGAGAUAUAUCCUGAUGGAUUUUGCAGACAAGAGGACUGCUGAUUAUUUAAGUGGUCUAACAAUAUAUCUGUCGUGCACACUAUGGACUAAUAUAGUAGAGAUAUUAUAUGCUAAUAGCAUAAUAAGUUGGCUUUGAGAAGGCUGAAACACUUAUACAGCUCAGCACCAUAGCUUAGGUUUUAGGAACAGACUAAGUUUCUGGAUAAAUUGUUUCACUAGCCUCUUUCUGGGAUUUUUAUGUUUCUGUUGCAGUCUUGCAUCAUAUCUUUGAUAACAAUAUGUAGAUAUUUAAAAUAAAUGAUAUCAAAUCCUACUGAAAUUCUUGGAAGAAGCCCAUAUUUUGAAAUUUACUGUGUUACUGUAAAUCACUAAACCUGAUUUGGAAUGAGAAAUUUGGCAUAUUUUAUAUAUUUAUUUGUAUAUCAACACAAUGAUUUGAGGUAGAUGUAGAGGCAACAGUUUGUAGUGAUAGACAGUACAAUUUGGAGCAGAGAAUGUUUCUGAUUGUGAAGCCCAGUCCUCCAUCAUUCACUUGUGUGAUCAAACUCUAUGGUGUCCUAGACCUGGGGUAGCACAUAGCAAAGAAGAUUGAAAAGGUAUGUGUUGUCCUAAAAAUUCAAGACUUUUUUACACUGAGACAUAGAAAAUGUGUUCUCUUUGACACAUAGAAAAUUGGUUCUCUAUUCAUACCAUCUUUGCCUUAUUCUGCAGUGAUUGUAUUAGCUUUAAUGAAACCAAACACAUUAUGAACUAAUUGUAUAGACACUGUCUGAAAUUAAAAUGUGCUCAUUCAAGAGAGAGUGUAGCUAUAUAUAUUAAAAAUAUAUAUUAAAUAAAAGGUUUAAAAAAAAAAAUCCAGUUUUUUUUUUUUUUCCAGCUAGAUGUAAUGACUUUCCAUAUGUUAGCAAACUGCUACUUUGGCAUUUCUUUGGCUGAAUGAAGGAAAUCAGAUUCAACUACAUUAUUGAAAUCAUUCCAUAUAUCACUAGAUUGAAUGGAAAAAAUCUGGUUUUAUGCCAAACAAAAAAAUUUUGAUGAAUUUAUCUUUUGAUGAUGUAGAACUGGUUGACAUGUCCAAGAGGGAUUGUGAUGCAGAUAGAUUCAUGCCAACGUGGCAAUAAGAUGAAUGAGGAACUUAAUUUUUUUAGAGAGAGGGCUAACAGCAAGGAAACUGAGCUGGAACCAACAGAAGGACAAGAUUCAACAAAUACUCAGUGGCCCUUGAGUUCAAGAGAAGUUUCAGAUUUGUUUAAAUUACCAGUCAAAGUCAAGUCAAGUCAAAUGUUCUGUAAGGCCACAAAGCUAGAGCAUCAAUAAAGAUGGAGGAAAAACCAAACGAGAAACACACUUAAUACAUUUUUUUGCACAGCAAUAAGCUUUUUUUUUUUUCUCUUUUCCUCACCAAGUAAAAGUCAGUGAUUAAGGACGCAUGUAUGUAAGUGUGAAAAGCACGCUUCAUGAAAGCAAUUGCAUCUGAUAAAGGAAAGAAUAUUUUUGCACAUUUAGGUGAAUGAUGCCAGAAGUGGAGAUUAACAUUACAUUUGGCUUUAUUCUAUCAUUUUCUUUUUGACAGCUCUGAUUUUAAUAGAGGACUUGAGUUACGCAAGAGUGAGGAGGAGAUCAACUAUCAUUAGCAUCAUUCUAGUGACACCAGCUGAAGAGAAUAACAAACACCUUUCUACUUAGCAGGGGAAAGUAAACGUAACUGCAUUGAGAUUUGAAUGUCUGUUAACAGCUUGUCCAGUGGCUGAGAUUAGUCUUGUCUCACACAGCUUGAUGUGUCUCACUCAUGUAGUGUUCUGCUUAAUAUUAAGCUCAUUGUUUAUGAAGAAAAGAAAAUCAAAGAUCUACAAUAAAUCAGACUGACCUACCAUAUACUAUGUUGAUGCUUGAUUGUAGAUAGAAUUUAUUAUUUCCUUCCUCUAGUAUCAACACACAUGAUGAACUCUCAACAGUUCUGGCUUUUAAACCUAAAAAUUAAUGCUUGCUUUUGUUCUGGACUUCUCAGUGUGUGUGUUUUUUUUUUUUUCCCCCAAUAUAAAUCUGUAACUUGUCUGCAUUUUUCCUAGCAAAACAGCUGCCAAAUAAUCCUCUGCUACAGUGGGAAGUAUUGCAAUUCAUUCCACAGAAGACUUAAACUCUUCCAAAUUUCCCAUUAAAAAAAAUAAUAUAUAUAUAUAUAUAGAAUGAUACCAGAUUUUCCAACCAGUAUAGAUCACCUACACAGACCGUUUGGAUUAGUUUCUUUUAAAAUUUAGUCCCUAAAAUGCUUUAAAAAUAAAUAAAAAUGAAUAAAACCUUUCUGCCUAGACAAACUGAGCUAGAAAUACUAUUUCUGGACUCCCAUGGUUAGGAUUCAGCUUAGUUUCUUUGUCCUGCUGCUCCUUUUUCAUGUGUGACUGCAGGACAGUGUCGCUGUCCUUUCACUUUUGUUAACUAUGUUAACUCAGGAUAGUGUAUGGCCUGUUUUUCAUCCCAACUUUGAGUAUGAGUCACUGUAGACUAGGACAUAGUUGAGUGACACUGAUUUGCAUACAACAGUGUUGUAUACUUCAAAAAUG